rnacentral:rRNA from 1 species
UACGAAGGGGGCUAGCGUUGCUCGGAAUCACUGGGCGUAAAGGGUGCGUAGGCGGGUCUUUAAGUCAGGGGUGAAAUCCUGGAGCUCAACUCCAGAACUGCCUUUGAUACUGAGGAUCUUGAGUUCGGGAGAGGUGAGUGGAACUGCGAGUGUAGAGGUGAAAAUUCGUAGAUAUUCGCAAGAACACCAGUGGCGAAGGCGGCUCACUGGCCCGAGUACUGACGCUGAGGCACGAAAGCGUGGGGAGCAACAGGGAU